rnacentral:miRNA from 1 species
UGUUUGGCCAGCUCGUGAUCGA